rnacentral:rRNA from 1 species
GACGAACGCUGGCGGCGUGCCUAAUACAUGCAAGUUGAGCGCUGAAGGUUGGUACUUGUACCAACUGGAUGAGCAGCGAACGGGUGAGUAACGCGUGGGGAAUCUGCCUUUGAGCGGGGGACAACAUUUGGAAACGAAUGCUAAUACCGCAUAAAAACUUUAAACACAAGUUUUAAGUUUGAAAGAUGCAAUUGCAUCACUCAAAGAUGAUCCCGCGUUGUAUUAGCUAGUUGGUGAGGUAAAGGCUCACCAAGGCGAUGAUACAUAGCCGACCUGAGAGGGUGAUCGGCCACAUUGGGACUGAGACACGGCCCAAACUCCUACGGGAGGCAGCAGUAGGGAAUCUUCGGCAAUAGACGAAAGUCUGACCGAGCAACGCCGCGUGAGUGAAGAAUGGUUUCGGAUCGUAAAACUCGGUUGGUAGAGAAGAACGUUGGUGAGAGUGGAAAGCUCAUCAAGUGACGGUAACUACCCAGAAAGGGACGGCUAACUACGUG